GCUGGCGGCAGGCCUAACACAUGCAAGUCGAGCGGAAACGACACUAACAAUCCUUCGGGUGCGUUAAUGGGCGUCGAGCGGCGGACGGGUGAGUAAUGCCUAGGAAAUUGCCUUGAUGUGGGGGAUAACCAUUGGAAACGAUGGCUAAUACCGCAUAAUGCCUACGGGCCAAAGAGGGGGAUCUUCGGACCUCUCGCGUCAAGAUAUGCCUAGGUGGGAUUAGCUAGUUGGUGAGGUAAUGGCUCACCAAGGCGACGAUCCCUAGCUGGUCUGAGAGGAUGAUCAGCCACACUGGAACUGAGACACGGUCCAGACUCCUACGGGAGGCAGCAGUGGGGAAUAUUGCACAAUGGGCGAAAGCCUGAUGCAGCCAUGCCGCGUGUAUGAAGAAGGCCUUCGGGUUGUAAAGUACUUUCAGUUGUGAGGAAGGGGGUAACGUUAAUAGCGUUAUCUCUUGACGUUAGCAACAGAAGAAGCACCGGCUAACUCCGUGCCAGCAGCCGCGGUAAUACGGAGGGUGCGAGCGUUAAUCGGAAUUACUGGGCGUAAAGCGCAUGCAGGUGG
rnacentral:rRNA from 1 species